ACUGGGACUGAGACACGGCCCAGACUCCUACGGGAGGCAGCAGUGGGGAAUAUUGCACAAUGGGCGCAAGCCUGAUGCAGCGACGCCGCGUGAGGGAUGACGGCCUUCGGGUUGUAAACCUCUGUUAGCAGGGAAGAAGAGAGAUUGACGGUACCUGCAGAGAAAGCGCCGGCUAACUACGUGCCAGCAGCCGCGGUAAUACGUAGGGCGCGAGCGUUGUCCGGAAUUAUUGGGCGUAAAGAGCUUGUAGGCGGUUUGUCGCGUCUGCUGUGAAAGGCCGGGGCUUAACUCCGUGUAUUGCAGUGGGUACGGGCAGACUAGAGUGCAGUAGGGGAGACUGGAAUUCCUGGUGUAGCGGUGGAAUGCGCAGAUAUCAGGAGGAACACCGAUGGCGAAGGCAGGUCUCUGGGCUGUAACUGACGCUGAGAAGCGAAAGCAUGGGGAGCGAACAGGAUUAGAUACCCUGGUAGUCCAUGCCGUAAACGUUGGGCACUAGGUGUGGGGGACAUUCCACGUUUUCCGCGCCGUAGCUAACGCAUUAAGUGCCCCGCCUGGGGAGUACGGCCGCAAGGCUAAAACUCAAAGAAAUUGACGGGGGCCCGCACAAGCGGCGGAGCAUGCGGAUUAAUUCGAUGCAACGCGAAGAACCUUACCAAGGCUAAGGCUAAAACUCAAAGGAAUUGACGGGGGCCCGCACAAGCGGCGGAGCAUGCGGAUUAAUUCGAUGCAACGCGAAGAACCUUACCAAGGCUUGACAUGCACGGCGACACUGCAGAGAUGUGGUGGCAUUUAGUUGGUCGUGUGCAGGUGGUGCAUGGUUGUCGUCAGCUCGUGUCGUGAGAUGUUGGGUUAAGUCCCGCAACGAGCGCAACCCUUGCCCUAUGUUGCCAGCACGUGAUGGUGGGGACUCGUGGGGGACUGCCGGGGUUAACUCGGAGGAAGGUGGGGAUGACGUCAAAUCAUCAUGCCCCUUAUGUCUUGGGCUUCACGCAUGCUACAAUGGUUGGUACAGAGGGUUGCGAUACUGUGAGGUGGAGCGAAUCCCUUAAAGCCAGUCUCAGUUCGGAUUGGGGUCUGCAACUCGACCCCAUGAAGGUGGAGUCGCUAGUAAUCGCAGAUCAGCAACGCUGCGGUGAAUACGUUCUCGGGCCUUGUACACACCGCCCGUCACGUCACGAAAGUUGGUAACACCCGAAGCCCAUGGCCUAACCGUUUUUGCGGGGGGAGUGGUCGAAGGUGGGAUUGGCGAUUGGGACGAAGUCGUAACAAGGUAGCCGUACCGGAAGGUGCGGCUG
rnacentral:rRNA from 1 species